GGUGACCCAAGGGGCCAAUCAGGGGACACAGGGGGGGUGAGUCUCUGGGGCCUGAUUGGUGCGGGAAGGGAAUCCCAAUUCCUCCAAUCAACUUUUGCCCUUUCAAAGUCCCUGGGCUAGGUCACUGCCAGUCCACCCGUCACAUCUUGCAGGUCUUAUGUCUG